rnacentral:rRNA from 1 species
AACACAUGCAAGUCGAACGGAUUGUUCUCGUAGCUUGCUAUGAGAACAAUUAGUGGCAGACGGGUGAGUAAUGCAUAGGAAUCUACCUAGUAGUAUAGGAUAGCCACUAGAAGUGGUGGGUAAUACUGUAUAAUCCCUGCGGGGGAAAGAUUUAUCGCUACAUGAUGAGCCUAUGUUAGAUUAGCUAGUUGGGGGGGUAAUGGCCUACCAAGGCAGUGAUCUAUAGCUGGUCUGAGAGGAUGAUCAGCCACACUGGAACUGAGACACGGUCCAGACUCCUACGGGAGGCAGCAGUGGGGAAUAUUGGACAAUGGGCGCAAGCCU